ACGUACGCUGGGCGAGCAGGCGGCCGCCGCGCUGCUGGCGCAGGGCGCGCGCGUGGCGCCGGCGUGACCAUCCCACGCCGUCGGUC
rnacentral:tRNA from 1 species